rnacentral:rRNA from 1 species
AGAGUUUGAUCCUGGCUCAGGACGAACGCUGGCGGCGUGCCUAACACAUGCAAGUCGAGCGGAGACAGUGAGUAGCUUACUAUGAGCUGUUUUAGCGGCGGACGGGUGAGUAACGCGUGAGCAACCUUUCCCAGACAGGGGAAUAACACACCGAAAGGUGUACUAAUACCGCAUAAGACCACGGGAUCACAUGGUUCUGAGGUAAAAGAUUUAUCGGUUUGGGGUGGGCUCGCGUCCGAUUAGGUAGUUGGUGAGGUAACGGCCCACCAAGCCGACGAUCGGUAGCCGACCUGAGAGGGUGAUCGGCCACAUUGGGACUGAGACACGGCCCAAACUCCUACGGGAGGCAGCAGUAGGGAAUCUUCCACAAUGGACGCAAGUCUGAUGGAGCAACGCCGCGUGAGUGAAGAAGGUCUUCGGAUCGUAAAACUCUGUUGUUAGAGAAGAACACGAGUGAGAGUAACUGUUCAUUCGAUGACGGUAUCUAACCAGCAAGUCACGGCUAACUACGUGCCAGCAGCCGCGGUAAUACGUAGGUGGCAAGCGUUGUCCGGAAUUAUUGGGCGUAAAGCGCGCGCAGGCGGCUUCCCAAGUCCCUCUUAAAAGUGCGGGGCUUAACCCCGUGAUGGGAAGGAAACUGGGAAGCUGGAGUAUCGGAGAGGAAAGUGGAAUUCCUAGUGUAGCGGUGAAAUGCGUAGAGAUUAGGAAGAACACCGGUGGCGAAGGCGACUUUCUGGACGAAAACUGACGCUGAGGCGCGAAAGCGUGGGGAGCAAACAGGAUUAGAUACCCUGGUAGUCCACGCCGUAAACGAUGAGUGCUAGGUGUUGGAUCCUUUCCGGGAUUCAGUGCCGCAGCUAACGCAUUAAGCACUCCGCCUGGGGAGUACGACCGCAAGGUUGAAACUCAAAGGAAUUGACGGGGGCCCGCAC